UACGGAGGGAGCUAGCGUUGUUCGGAAUUACUGGGUGUAAAGCGCACGUAGGCGGCUUUUUAAGUCAGGGGUGAAAUCCCGGGGCUCAACCCCGGAACUGCCCUUGAAACUGGAGAGCUAGAAUCUUGGAGAGGCGAGUGGAAUUCCGAGUGUAGAGGUGAAAUUCGUAGAUAUUCGGAAGAACACCAGUGGCGAAGGCGACUCGCUGGACAAGUAUUGACGCUGAGGUGCGAAAGCGUGGGGAGCAAACAGG
rnacentral:rRNA from 1 species